rnacentral:lncRNA from 1 species
UUGAACGUGACUAUUAAUUGUGCUCAAGAAUCUUGGCUAUACAGCAUAUAGAAAAAUGCAUGCCUGUCUGAAAAAGAAGUUUUGUGGUUCAACGGAAAUUUGUUCGGCACGAACUCCGCUUCCCGUUCUGGCUUUUUUUUUCUUUUCUUUUUUUCAUUUUAUAUGUGCACUUCAAGACUUCCGAUGUAACCAAUUUCCUGAAACAAGUCUUUUUUUUUUUUUUUCAAUACGCGUCACCAUUAUAAGAAUAAAGCGGUUCAUCAACAUGAACGUCGGCUGCUUCUGCUUCGUGUACAACAAUGCACUACGGAUGGAGCAAAAUGUAAUUCAAAGCUGGGGUGCUAUUCUGGACACUGUCGAAUUCCACCAUAUUGUCAAAUUUUGUAAUGGCGUCAAUUUAGCCAAUCAAAGAGACCGUAGCAGCCCUGUGGGCCAAUGAGAGUUGAUCAAUGGUGGAAUUUGACAAUGUCCAGAACAGCACCCUGGCCAAGGAAGGUGUGCGCGAUGUCACUAAGCCU